GGAGACGAUAGUUGCGAGGGAAGCAGCUGUUUCCGUGUCCACUGUCCUCCAAGAGGAGUUUUUGGCUUGUAAAAGUCCUCCUGCACCCGCAGCACUGCCUCUAAGGCUGCCCUGUACCCACUGCAUUGACCACAAACAGCAAGAGGAGACAGUUGAGGAACACACAGAGCGCUUAGUUGACACAGAGGAAAGUGCAGUUUCAUCCACUGUCAAGAGAGAGGAACUGACAGGUGAUACAAACCCUGUCCUAGCACUUCCUCCAAGCCUGGCAUGCAUCCAUGACAAAGACCACAAUGAUCCAAAUCAGAAAGGGAGGGGCACUACUAAGAAGGUGUAUCUCUGCCCUCACGCUCACCAGCUGGACCCAGAUGCUAACUUAACUCUGUCAACCCACAAUGAUGAACCCAGGACCUGGACCCUGGAAGAGACAAAGGAUUAUAGGAUUGGCAUUGACAUUGAGAGUGAAGAGAGGAGCGUCCAGGAGGAGGUGAGACCGAGGGAGGGGUUGAAGUGUGAUGCGGACUGUGCCCAUUCCAAGAGCUCCAAUGGGAUGGUUUCAUCAGAGAGAGCAGAGACCAUCCUGGGAAGAGUGGGCUUUCUGGUCAGGAACCACAUGCAGAAAAUCCCAUUUUUGAAGAUGGAGGAAAAAGAGGAAUGUAAGAAACUGAAUAAGAAGUUGAAAGAUGACGAGAAAGAGAGAAAGGAGAUGAAAAACAAGGAGGAGGAGCAAAAAAAGAGGGAGAAGAAAGAGAUGAAAGAGAGAGAGAAAGAGCAGAAGAAAGUCAUGAAGGCUGAGAAAAAGA
rnacentral:lncRNA from 1 species